AUAAACGUUGGCGGCGUGUCUAACGCAUGCAAGUCGCACGAGGGCUUCGGCCCGAGUGGCGGACGGGUGAGUAACACGUAGGAACCUGCCCGGAAGUGGGGGACAACUCCUCGAAAGGGGAGCUAAUACCGCAUACGGUCUACGGACCAAAGCCGAAAGGCGCUUCUGGAGGGGCCUGCGGUGGAUUAGCUAGUUGGUGGGGUAACGGCCUACCAAGGCGACGAUCUAUAGCUGGUCUGAGAGGAUGGCCAGCCACACUGGGACUGAGACACUGCCCAGACUCCUACGGGAGGCAGCAGCGAGGAAUUUUGCACAAUCGACGCAAGUCGGAUGCAGCAACGCCGCGUGGGGGAAGAAGGCUUUCGAGUUGUAAACCCCUUUUGUGAGGGAGGAAGAUCUGACGGUACCUCACGAAUAAGUCACGGCUAACUACGU
rnacentral:rRNA from 1 species